UGUACUCUUCGUAGUCUGUUUUCUCUCUCUCUCUCCCACAGUCUCCUUCCCUCUCCCACUCAAACACAUAUAAAACUCACGGAGACAAGAUAUUCAUUUUUUUUUUAUAUCUAAACAUGUAUUUAUUUUUGUCAUUUGCUCAUUCACUCUUUCGUAUUCCUCAUUCCUCAACUUUUGUCGACUCUACGGCGAUGUGCAACAUAAACAGUUUGGAGAGGGGGUUUGUGUUCUGGUCAAUUUAAAAUGCAUCUCCCCAAAUAAAGGAAUCUCUUUGUUAUUAUAAAGAAUACAUCUUCCAUUAAAUGCUCAAAUGAAGGCUGAAUAAGCGGCUUUAAACACACACUGACUGAUGUGGGCUGAAGUGCACCAUUGUGGGCAAUACAACUGACCCGGUGACAAGGUGUAUGAAGUUUGUCUGAGGAGCAUCUGUCAUCGAUCAGAAGCGAUUAAUGCAAGGAACAGUGUCUUAUCAGCUGUCACGAGCACAACACAAUCCUCGCUUCCCGCGAAAGAGCCGCGCGCAUUUACAGGCAUGAAAUUACAUCAAAUCCCCAAAGCGCUCGGCAAACGAAGGGUGCGCGCCGCGCGGUGCGGGAUCUGAUGUGGACUUAAACACAAACGAAAGGAGGAUUCGUGAAGCAAAUGUAACAGAUAUGCCGUGCAACAGACGCCUUUAUUGUCGCUAUUGAAAGCAACAUGCCGCUGUGGUUCAGAAGUCAAACGGAGGUCAUCCUUUAUUUCCCCCCGCAGCGAUCAGCGACCAGCGACCAGGGGCCAGGGGCCAGUCAGCAGUGAACCCUGCCUUCUCCAGCAGCACUGACAACUGCAUGGGACUUACAAGACUAGCGGGAAUGGGAGAAAAAACAGCAGGCAGGCUACUAACUUUCUUUUUUAGAUCUUUCCACUGCUUGCUUAUUAUGCUCUUACAGAGUGUUUCAAAGGCUUGUCAAAUGGGAAAUGUUUGAAUAUGCAAAUAAUCAUUUAACCACUCUAUGCGUUUCCUUGUCCGAGCGCGCAACGGAGACAAUUACUUGCAAAUAAAAUAAGUGAAUCGUUGUUUAGGCUACUAAUCGUGGGGGAAAUGAAACCCAUGGUCCAAGAUUAUAACGACGGAAGUGUGAAACUAAAAAAAACUUUGUGCACUUUUGAAGGUUCAUAUGUUUUCCAGGCUAACUAAUGAAUCAAACACGUCCAGGAAUUUUAGGAACAAUUAGUCGGAAACAAUGUCUAAAAUAAUGUUUAUACUACAGGUGCAGUGAGAAAAAAAAAUAGAUUAAGGCUAUUUACUUUCGUUUUAUUAGUUGGAAACAUUAAAAAGAAGCGCUAAGCAUUUAUUUCAUGUUAAUGUAUAGGCCUAAUUAAAUUUGAAAUCAGUGUUUUUAUUUAAAUGUCGCUUUGUGAUUUUAUUUGAGCCAACUUUGUUUUUUUUUCUAUUUUGCUUAAUCUUAUUUUAUUUUCAAAACCUUCUUAAUUGAGAAACGUAUUGCAGGCCAAUUGGAUUUGCAAUAAUGUAAACUAGUACAGAAAAGAAAAACACAUUUUUUCAUAUGCAAAGGCUCGCAGUGACCUGUAUGCUUGAUCAUGUGCGCCUUCUACUGGAAACAUACUGCAUUUUCUUUCUUUGUUUCUUAAUGAGAGACGCAAAGACUUUUCUGAUAUGCACAAGCACAAACACAGGAGUUUUGCCGCGCUCUAAUCUUAAAGAAUAGUUAAAAUGAGGAUAAUCAAUUAUGACGACUAAGGAGACAUGCGUGAAUAUUUAAAAGUAGACUACUUGACAAAGUUUGAUGGCGCGUCAUUGAUCCGUCAAAGCUUGAAAUUUGGCAACUUACUCUUAAUUCAGCUUAAUCUUUAUUAUUUUAAGUUUAUUCUUCUAAAAUCUGCAUCGUUUAUCGCAUGGUGUGAUACUGGUGUAACCAUUUGGGUAUUUGUGUUAAAAACAAAUCAUCAGAAAACGUCCCACUUCGCCUGUGUUCACAUUAAUUAGCAAAACAAUAAUUAAAAUAAAUUGCGCGUUGACUUCCAGAGGUUUUCGGCUGCAAAAAAAAAAA